UCUCCGUAGGUGAACCUGCGGAGGGAUCAUUACAGAGUUCAUGCCCUACCGGGUAGAUCUCCCACCCUACGUUAUUAUUGCUUUGUUGCUUUGGCGGGCCGUUAGGCUCCGGCCCGACUACCGGCCCCGGCUGGUAAGCGCCCGCCAGAGGACCCAAAACCCUGAAUAUUAGUGUCGUCUGAGUACUAUAUAAUAGUUAAAACUUUCAACAACGGAUCUCUCGGUUCUG
rnacentral:misc_RNA from 1 species